ensembl:lncRNA
CAGCUCUGUAGGUCAGAAGUUAAAGCUCAGUGGGCUUCUGUGCUCAGGGUCUCACAAGGCUGAAACCAAGGUUUCAGUUAGGUCGGGAUCUUACCUGGAGGCUCUGGAAAGAUUUUACCCCCAAGCUCAUUCAGUAUAUUCUUGCGGCCCUGCCACCAGAUGAAAGGAAGAGCAUGAAAGCACCAGCAGAUCCGGGGCCCUGCCUUUCCAGCUUUAACAUGCCAACAAACGUGGACGGGGCGCUCGGCUGACGGAGGCAUCUGUUGUUCCUGUGCACCGGCUUCAGCUGGGAGCGGCUGAGAACAACAGCCUCAAAUCCUUUUAGAACUGAAGAUCUCAGCUGGUCCCAAGUGAAUCUCCAUUUGUGUUCCCUCUUCAAUAAAGUCUUCUUCUCAACACAGAGGAGGAUGUGAAAGCCACGGCUCCUGAAGGCACUGUCCCUGCUAUUUGAAAGACCAAGACAUAUAUACACACGUAUGUCCUGUGUGUGGAUAACUUACAACAAAGUAUUCUGAUCCUGAAUGUAUGUACAGUAGAAUGUUAACUCCUUCUAGGCAUAGAAGUAGCACCAUAUGUCCCUGUAGUAGGAAUGUGUCCCAAUCCUAGAAUGAUGGGGUUGUAUUUGGUAUGUGACUCUAAAGUCAAACUUACUAUUGAAAUGUAUAACUGAUCUACAAAGAUAUUUAUAAGCCUCCCUCCCCUCUAUUUUAAUAAAGUGAAUGAAGGAUAAUUCCAGACAUUUUAUGUUUUUUAAAAAAAAUCUUUGAAACAUUUAUAUAGUGUUUCUUAUGUAACAAGCAUUAUGCAACAAACAUUGCUCUACAUCUUUUUACAGAUAAUAAUUUAAUUCCCUGUGAGCAGGAUACAACUAUCACUCCCUUUUAUACAUAAGAAAAUGAGGAACAGAGAUUAGAUUAUUUACCCAAAUUCACACAGCCAGUUAGAGCUGGAAUUCUGAUCCUUCUAGUCUAGAGCCACAGUCUAUAUC